GAGGGUAUAACUCAGUGGUAGAGUGUGUGCUUAGCAUGUAUGAGGUCCUGGAUUCAAUCCCCAGUACCUUCA
rnacentral:tRNA from 1 species